UCUCCCUUCUCACAUUAACUCAUCCCCAACCUUUCAACUAUCUCUCCAAGUUCAGCCUACUCCCUCUGGAAACCCUCUCAAUUUUUGAACCCUAGAAAAUUGCAGCCGCAAUCUACAUCUCCAUCCACCAAAAAUCAAAGUGAGAAACUAAUCCAUCAAGAAGCGACAAAAUGGCUGGUACAGUCGACGUUUUUGCUCAGGGAAUUCGCGAAAUGGUUAUUAAGCAACGGAGACGAGGGAAGAAACUAGAUGAUGUGGAGGAUGGUCUAGUGAGAAAUAAUGUACUUGAACAAGUUAUUUUUCUCUUAAAAAAUGUACUCCUUCCGUCCCAUAAUAGAUGAGAUGACACACUUGAAAAAUGACACGAAAUUUUAGGAGAUAGUUGUUUUGUGUGUUAGAUAAAGAGAGAAAAUAGUAUAUUUAUAUUAAUGUGAGGGGAGCUUUUUCUAAAGAGGAAAUGUAACAUUUAUUAUGUGACGGAGGGAGUACUAUAUAAGUUAGUUGGAUGCAACUUUGUGCUUACUCAUGCAAUUUUACGUGCAUUCAAUGUAAAUAUAUUGCAAUGUACAAUUUAGCAUUAUUUAAGGAAAAGGUUGCAUUAUUCAGUCCAGAAGUUGCAUUAUUGAUAUACACUUAUAAUUAUAGAGUAUUUUAUACUUUCAAAAAAGAGUAAUAAUAUAAAAAAAAUACUAGAUAAAAUAUAUCACAAAUAUAAGAAGAUGCACUAAAUAAUUUUUCAAUAAAAUGAAUACAAUAUUACAGUUACUUCACUAUGUGAAAAUAUUUAAACCAGUUACAUAUGCAUUUAAUACAUUAACUACAUAUUAAUGCAAUUCUUAUCUGAGCUAAUUGAAUCAAUUAUAAUUACUACCAAAAUGGUCCCUAAAUUAUGCGUUUAGCACACCAAUAGUUCCCCGGCUUUACAUGAGAAGGUGUAAUCACAUUCGUUAUUCAUCAUAAUUUUGCAUAAAAAAUGCCCCAAAGGUAUGAAAUGUCACAUGACUCAAAAUAUACAUCAUUUUACAUAAUUUAAUAUUUUAUUUUAUUAGAAAUGUAUGAAGUGGGUAGGUUUGGAUCGUACCUCUCAUUUUCCUGAUCUUGUACGAGGUAUCAGGAGGGCCAUUUGGUGUUGAAGACAGUGUUCAAGCAGCUGGCCCUCUUCUAGCAUUGGUGGGGUUUCUUGUUCCAGAAGCAUUGGUGACAGCUGAAUGUUUCCUGAAAAUGGAGGUUAUGUGGUUUGGGGGUUUCAGCAGCAGGGGUGGAUGAAGUGGCUUAGUAGAGUCAUUGAUAAUGCACUAUAUCCUGUUCUGUUUUGUGACUAUCUAAAGCCGGGCAUCCCGGUUCUCGCUGAUGACUGUUGCAUUGACAUUCAUGAACUACAGGGCAAUCUUGCUAGGGCUCAGAUGCCUUUCUUGGUUAUGGGAGUUGUGGCCGUUCUCUAGCUGGGGAGGUGGAUAACCCCGGUAGAGGGCACUGUUUUAGAGGGCACCGGGAGGAGUGGAGUGCUGGGUAUUGGCAACAUUCUUGGUGGGGUGUGGGUGCAUGGGGGCUUCUGCUGUGUCGAAUAUGGGGAUAUUUGUGGCUGAAAUGAGUAGCGUCGUUCCAGGGAUGGGACGCCCCUCGUUGGGAUUAUGUUCUCUGCACUGCUUUCGUGGCUCAGCUUUCAGGAGAACUUUCUCUACUGUUUUGGGAUGAUCAUGGAGUUUCUAGCCUUGAAUCGAUCAUCCAAAAGUUCCACUCGGGACAUUUGGGGCGAUCAUCAAGUGUGUGCCUCCAACUUUGCUCAUAUUUCGGAAAGUAAUGGUGAUUAGCCUCGUCGCCUCUCUGAUAGGGCUCAUUCUACAGCCUUGCUUGAAGAUUCUGUUCCGUUCCACUGAUACAGAGCGAAAGAUGAUGAUGAUGAUACAUGAAGUGAAGAAAGAGGAAUGUGUGCAAUAAGAUGGUACUGAGGCAGCUUUGUCAUCAGGCCUCUUUUUGCAUUGAAUUUGCCAAUCUUUGUAAAUUCAUCUUAUCCGAAGUGAAAAUAUGAUUUUGAGCUUUAAUCCACAUAUCAUUUGUGUUUU